rnacentral:rRNA from 1 species
UUCUGGCUCAGGAUGAACGCUAGCUACAGGCUUAACACAUGCAAGUCGAGGGGCAGCAUUAUCGAAGCUUGCUUGAUAGAUGGCGACCGGCGCACGGGUGAGUAACGCGUAUCCAACCUUCCCUAUAGUAGAGAAUAGCCCGCGAAAGUCGGAUUAAUGCUCUAUGUUGUAUUUAGAAGACAUCUGAAGAAUACCAAAGGUUUUACCGCUAUAGGGAUGGGGAUGCGUCUGAUUAGGUAGUAGGCGGGGUAACGGCCCACCUAGCCGACGAUCAGUAGGGGUUCUGAGAGGAAGGUCCCCCACAUUGGAACUGAGACACGGUCCAAACUCCUACGGGAGGCAGCAGUGAGGAAUAUUGGUCAAUGGACGGAAGUCUGAACCAGCCAAGUAGCCGUGCAGGAUGACGGCCCUAUGGGUUGUAAACUGCUUUUAUAUAGGGAUAAAGUCGGGGACGUGUCCCCGUUUGUAGGUACUAUAUGAAUAAGGACCGGCUAAUUCCGUGCCAGCAGCUGC